AGACGUUCUUGCGAUGGUGAGAUUUGCUGUUAAGGCUACACACCAAGACACAGUUAAGGAUGACUGAUCCCUUACCCACCUGAAUAUGUCGGGAAAAGGACUGAUAGACAGCGUGGCCACCCUCUCCAAGUUAUCAGGUAGCCAGGUAGCUUAGGACAGGUCUAUUUUGGACGGCCUGUCAGAGCAGGUCCAGGACCUGCGGCUGUGGUCCCAGAGGCGCAACAAACUGGACUGCGAGGCCCUGCAGCAGACCUGGCGCCAGAGGAGGCCCGGGGGCUGCUAACUCUCCAGAGAUGUCAAGUGCCUGCUCACUACUGCCCCCUCACUGUGAGGAAGAUUCCGUGAGUUCUUGUACACCCUUAAAGAAUUGUGUCGCUUGGAUUCCAAUGUGUACACUUGAGAUGAUUUACAUUCCUUGGUCCUCAUAUGAGGCAUCUUUUGAUGACACAGGCUGCAAUAUUUUGUAUGCAUUAUGUAGAUAUACUUAUUUCAGUGUGUAUUUUGGGGUGCAUUUAUACAUGUGUAUGUUUGUCUAUGUUUUGGAAAACCCACAAAAUUAAGUGAAAAUAAUAAUAAUAAUUUCUGCACUGCUUAUCGCCAUGGUGCUUUUUUAUCCAUGCAACUUCCCAACAUUUGCUGACUGAAUGAAGAAAUGGUCAAGCUUACCUCUGGUUUACUUGUUAGUUAACCCACUGACUGGCCUUCUUCUCACUGUUUAUUUUUCCACAAAGGAGGGUGUUCAAGAUACUGUGGGAUGUGCCUAGUCACACAUCAGUGUUAUCACCUCAGUGUAUCACUACAGUGCCUUGCGAAAGUAUUCGGCCCCCUUGAACUUUCCGACCUUUUGCCACAUUUCAGGCUUCAAACAUAAAGAUAUAAAACGGUAUUUUUUUGUGAAGAAUCAACAACAAGUGGGACACAAUCAUGAAGUGAAACGACAUUUAUUGGAUAUUUCAAACUUUUUUUAACAAAUCAAAAACUGAAAUAUUGGGCGUGCAAAAUUAUUCAGCCCCUUUACUUUCAGUGCAGCAAAUUCUCUCCAGAAGUUCAGUGAGGAUCUCUGAAUGAUCCAAUGUUGACCUAAAUGACUAAUGAUGAUAAAUACAAUCCACCUGUGUGUAAUCAAGUCUCCGUAUAAAUGCACCUGCACUGUGAUACUCUCAGAGGUCCGUUAAAAGCGCAGAGAGCAUCAUGAAGAACAAGGAACACACCAGGCAGG